AACAAUUUUUAUUUUAUUAGCAUUUGAAUUGUUGAUAUAAUUACGAAAAGAGAAUUUUUAAAUUAAAAAAAUUCGACUAAAAUAAAAAAAGUUCUUCAAAUUUCGGGGUGCACAACCUUUUUUUUUACUUGCUCUGCAUGUUGAUUAGUGCAUGUUAUAGUAUUUUGUUAUAGUAAUUUUUAUAUAAAUAUUACGUCCAGAACCGAAAUUAUCUGCAGAAAAUAGUAUUUCAAUUUUCACUUUAUUUAGAACAUCCUUGAAAAUUUUUUAGAAGCUGAAGAUUGCAAACAUAAAAGAAUUGAUGGACAUUUGUAGUUAAAAACAAGAAGCUAUCAGCUGAUCUAAUGCUGGCUCCUGUCCAGACUUGGUUUGAAGCAGAGAUGGGCAUUUGUCAUUCAGAAUAAUGAAUGAUGAAUAAAGAUUUAUUCAUUAGUCAGAAAUACUUUGAAUAAAGAAUAAAUCAUUCAUUCUUCGUUAUUCAGUAUCCUUUAUUCAUUAGUCGAGA